UACGGGGGGGGCAAGCGUUGUUCGGAAUUACUGGGCAUAAAGGGCUCGUAGGCGGCCAACUAAGUCAGACGUGAAAUCCCUCGGCUUAACCGGGGAACUGCGUCUGAUACUGGAUGGCUAGAGGUUGGGAGAGGGAUGCGGAAUUCCAGGUGUAGCGGUGAAAUGCGUAGAUAUCUGGAGGAACACCGGUGGCGAAGGCGGCAUCCUGGACCAAUUCUGACGCUGAGGAGCGAAAGCCAGGGGGAGCAAACGGGG
rnacentral:rRNA from 1 species